CUGCUGACGUCGGAGCUGACGGUGCGCGUGGGGGACUACGGGCUGUCACACAACAACUACCGGGUGAGGGGGACACGGGGACGGGGGGACACGGACGGGAUGGAGGGGACACGGGGAUGGGACAGGAUGGAGGGGACAUGGAGACAUGGAUGGGAUGGAGGGGACAUGGGGACGGGGCCAGGGACCAGGGGAGAUGGAGGGACAUGGGGACAGGGACAAGGACCGGACAGGAUGGAGGGGACAUGGAGACAUGGAUGGGAUGGAGGGGACAUGGGGAUGGGGAUGGGAUGGGAUGGGAUGGGAUGGUGGGGACAUGGGGAUGGGGCCAGGGACCAGGGGAGAUGGAGGGACAUGGGGAUGGGGACAAGGACUGGAUGGGAUGGAGAAGACAUGGGGACAUGGACAGGAUGGGGACGACAUGGGGACGGGAACGUGAUGGGAUUGGGGGGACACAGGGAUGGGGACAGGGACCAGAGGGGUUGGAGGGACAUGGGGACAGGGACAAGGACCAGACAGGAUGGAGGAGACAUGGGGAUGGGAUGGGAUGGGAUGGGAUGGAGGGGACACGGGGACGGGGACAGGGACCGGAAGGCAUGGGAGGGGGACAUGGAUGGGCCGGGGGUUCCCGCGGGGUGACGCCGCCCCCCAGGAGGACUACUACGUCACCCCCGACCGGCUGUGGAUCCCCCUGCGCUGGGUGGCCCCGGAGCUGCUGGAGGAGACGCACGGGACCCUCUCCGUGGUGGACCAGAGCAAGGAGAGCAACGUCUGGUGAGUCCGGCGCGGGGACGGCGCCACCGGCCGCCCCGGCACGCUGUCGCCACGUCCCGCUGCGGCGGUGUUGCGAUGCCCUGGGGUCGUGGUGUCCUGGUCCCACGGGGUCCCAGUGCAAUGGUGUCCCAGUGUCACGGUGUUGCCAUGCCCUCGUGUCGUGGUGUCCUGGUCCCACGGGGUCCCAGUGCGAUGGUGUUCCAGUGUCACGGUGUUGCCAUGCCCUCGUGCCGUGGUGUCCUGGUCCCACGGGGUCCC
rnacentral:lncRNA from 1 species